UGAAGCCGGAAUUGCUAGUAAUGGCAGGUCAGCAUACUGCCGUGAAUACGUUCCCGGGCCUUGUACACACCGCCCGUCACACCAUGAGAGUUGGAAAUACCCGAAGCCUGUGAGCUGACGAGUUACGGGGCAGCAGUCGAAGGUAGAGCCAAUGAUUGGGGUGAAGUCGUAACAAGGUAAC
rnacentral:rRNA from 1 species